AGUGAACGCUGGCGGCGUGCCUAAUACAUGCAAGUCGAACGGAGGGGCGCACGGGUGAGUAAUAUAUAGCUAAUCUGCCCCUUGCUGGAGGACAACAGUUAGAAAUGACUGCUAAUACUCCAGAGCAAGGAAUGAGACUAUAUCGUAUCAGCUAGUCGGUGGGGUAACGGCCUACCGAGGCUAUGACGCGUAACUGGUCUGAGAGGAUGAUCAGUCACAUUGGAACGGGGACACGGUGCAACCGCCUACGGGAGGCAGCGGUAGGGAAUAUUGCGCAAUGGGGGAAACCCUGACGCAGCAACGCCGCGUGGAGGAUGACACUUUUCGGAGCGUAAACUCCUUUUGUUAGGCGAGCGGUACCUAACGAAUAAGCACCGGCUAACUCCGUGCCAGCAGCCGCGGUAAUAC
rnacentral:rRNA from 1 species